rnacentral:rRNA from 1 species
CCUACGGGAGACUGCAGUGGGGAAUAUUGCACAAUGGGGGAAACCCUGAUGCAGCGACGCCGCGUGAGUGAAGAAGUAUUUCGGUAUGUAAAGCUCUAUCAGCAGGGAAGAAACCCACCCUCCGGGUUGGCUGACGGUACCUGACUAAGAAGCCCCGGCUAACUACGUGCCAGCAGCCGCGGUAAUACGUAGGGGGCAAGCGUUAUCCGGAUUUACUGGGUGUAAAGGGAGCGUAGGUGGCAAGGCAAGGCAGAUGUGAAAACCCGGGGCCCAACCCCGGGAGUGCAUUUGAAACUGUCUGGCUAGAGUGCAGGAGAGGUAAGUGGAAUUCCUAGUGUAGCGGUGAAAUGCAUAGAUAUUAGGAGGAACACCAGUGGCGAAGGCGGCUUACUGGACCGUAACUGACACUGAGGCUCGAAAGCGUGGGGAGCAAACAGGAUUAGAUACCCGAGUAGUC